AGUGAACGCUGGCGGUAGGCCUAACACAUGCAAGUCGAACGGCAGCACAGUAAGAGCUUGCUCUUACGGGUGGCGAGUGGCGGACGGGUGAGGAAUACAUCCGAAUCUACUUUUUCGUGGGGGAUAACGUAGGGAAACUUACGCUAAUACCGCAUACGACCUACGGGUGAAAGCAGGGGAUCUUCGGACCUUGCGCGAUUGAAUGAGCCGAUGUCGGAGUAGCUAGUUGGCGGGGUAAAGGCCCACCAAGGCGACGAUCCGUAGCUGGUCUGAGAGGCUGGUCGGCCACACUGGAACUGAGACACGGACCAGACUCCUACGGGAGGCAGCAGUGGGGAAUAUUGGACAAUGGGCGGAAGCCUGAUCCAGCCAGACCGCGUGGGUGGAGAAGGCCUUCGGGUUGUAAAGCCCUUUUGUUGGGAAAGAAAAGCAGCAGGUUAAUACCCCGCGGUUCUGACGGUACCCAAAGAAUAAGCACCGGCUAACUUCGUG
rnacentral:rRNA from 1 species